GUGUCAGCCGCCGCGGUAAUACGGAGGGAGCUAGCGUUGUUCGGAAUUACUGGGCGUAAAGCGUACGUAGGCGGUUAUUCAAGUCAGAGGUGAAAGCCCGGGGCUCAACCCCGGAACUGCCUUUGAAACUAGAUAGCUAGAAUCUUGGAGAGGUCAGUGGAAUUCCGAGUGUAGAGGUGAAAUUCGUAGAUAUUCGGAAGAACACCAGUGGCGAAGGCGACUGACUGGACAAGUAUUGACGCUGAGGUACGAAAGCGUGGGGAGCAAACAGGAUUAGAAACCCCUGUAGUCC
rnacentral:rRNA from 1 species